UACCAGCACCCCGAGUGGUCGGGACGAUUUAUUGGGCCUAAAGCAUCCGUAGCCGGUCUUGCAAGUCUUCCGUUAAAUCCAGCUGCUUAACGGAUGGGCUGCGGAAGAUACUACAAGACUAGGAGGCGGAAGAGGCAAGCGGUACUCAGUGGGUAGGGGUAAAAUCCUCUGAUCCAUUGAAGACCACCAGUGGCGAAGGCGGCUUGCCAGAACGCGCUCGACGGUGAGGGAUGAAAGCUGGGGGAG
rnacentral:rRNA from 1 species